rnacentral:rRNA from 1 species
GGACCUACGGGGGGCAGCAGUGGGGGAUAUUGCACAAUGGGGGAAACCCUGAUGCAGCGACGCCGCGUGAGUGAAGAAGUAUUUCGGUACGUAAAGCUCUAUCAGCAGGGAAGAAAAAUGACGGUACCUGACUAAGAAGCCCCGGCUAACUACGUGCCAGCAGCCGCGGUAAUACGUAGGGGGCAAGCGUUAUCCGGAUUUACUGGGUGUAAAGGGAGCGUAGACGGCUGUGCAAGUCUGAAGUGAAAUGCCGGGGCCCAACCCCGGAACUGCUUUGGAAACUGUACAGCUAGA